rnacentral:rRNA from 1 species
UACGGGGGGAGCAAGCGUUGUUCGGAUUCAUUGGGCGUAAAGGGUGCGUAGGCGGCGCGGUAAGUCGGGUGUGAAAUCUCGGAGCUUAACUCCGAAACUGCAUUCGAUACUGCCGUGCUUGAGGACUGGAGGGGAGACUGGAAUUUACGGUGUAGCGGUGAAAUGCGUAGAGAUCGUAAGGAAGACCAGUGGCGAAGGCGAGUUUCUGGACGGUAACUGACGCUGAGGCACGAAGGCCAGGGGAGCAAACGGG